AUCGCUUCUCAGCCUUUUGGCUAAGAUCAAGUGUAGUACGUGACAUUUUUGUCGGCAAUUUUCGGCUCCUGGUAUUAGUGUUUUUUCUUGCAUUAUUGCUUACAUUUCGUCGACAACUUUGGUAUCAUUCAACUCCCAAGAGUCUCCUCUUU
rnacentral:snRNA from 1 species